rnacentral:rRNA from 1 species
GGCAGCAGGCACGCAAAUUACCCAAUGACCGAAGGUCGAGGUAGUGACGAAAAAUAACGAUCCAGGACUCAUCCGAGGCCCUGGAAUCGGAAUGAGUACACUUUAAAACCGUCCCCGAGGAUCUAUUGGAGGGCAAGUCUGGUGCCAGCAGCCGCGGUAAUUCCAGCUCCAAUAGCGUAUAUUAAAGUUGUUGUGGUUAAAAAGCUCGUAGUUGGAUCUCGGCAGAUUGAAGGCGGUUUGCUUGCUAGUAUUACUGCCUUAUAAUCUGUAGUUUUGCCAGAGGUUUUAGGGUGCUCUUAAUCGAGUGUCCUGGGAUGCUGGCAGGUUUACUUUGAAAAAAUUAGAGUGCUCAAAGCAGGCUAUUACGCCUGAAUAUUUCGUGCAUGGAAUAAUAGAAUAGGAAGUCGUUUCUAUUUUGUUGGUUUUCGGAAAUCGACUUAAUGAUUAAUAGGGACAGUCGGGGGCAUUUGUAUUCAAACGACAGAGGUGAAAUUCUUGGACCGUUUGAAGACAAACUACUGCGAAAGCAUUUGCCAAGAAUGUUUUCAUUAAUCAAGAACGAAAGUUAAAGGUUCGAAGGCGAUUAGAUACCGCCCUAGUUUUAACCAUAAACGAUGCCAGCUAGCGAUCUGCGGACGUUUUUUUUGUAGACUCCGCAGGAAGCUUCCGGGAAACCAAAGCAUUUGGGUUCCAGGGGAAGUAUGGUUGCAAAGCUGAAACUUAAAGGAAUUGACGGAAGGGCACCACCAGGAGUGGAGCCUGUGGCUUAAUUUGACUCAACACGGGAAAUCUCACCAGGCCCGGACACUGGAAGGAUUGACAGAUUGAUAGCUCUUUCUUGAUUCGGUGGGUGGUGGUGCAUGGCCGUUCUUAGUUGGUGGAGUGAUUUGUCUGGUUAAUUCCGAUAACGAACGAGACUCUGUCCUGCUAAAUAGUGUUUGCUUCUCUUUUGAGCAAACAAUUCUUCUUAGAGGGACUGGCGACUCUUAGUCGCACGAGAUUGAGCAAUAACAGGUCUGUGAUGCCCUUAGAUGUUCUGGGCCGCACACGCGCUACACUGAAUAGCUCAGCGUGUUCUCCCUUUCCGAGAGGAACGGGUAAACCGCUGAACCCUAUUCGUGGUAGGGAUCGGGGCUUGCAAUUAUUCCCCGUGAACCAGGAAUUCCCAGUAGGCGCAAGUCAUCAGCUUGCGUCGAUUACGUCCCUGCCCUUUGUACACACCGCCCGUCGCUACUACCGAUUGAACGUUUUAGUGAGGUCCUCGGACUGUUUGCCUGGCGGAUUACUCUGCCUGGCUGGCGGGAAGACGACCAAACUGUAGCGUUAGAGGAAGUAAAAGUC